AGUGAACGCUGGCGGUAGGCCUAACACAUGCAAGUCGAACGGCAGCACAGUAAGAGCUUGCUCUUACGGGUGGCGAGUGGCGGACGGGUGAGGAAUACAUCGGAAUCUACUUUUUCGUGGGGGAUAACGUAGGGAAACUUACGCUAAUACCGCAUACGACCUACGGGUGAAAGCAGGGGAUCUUCGGACCUUGCGCGAUUGAAUGAGCCGAUGUCGGAUUAGCUAGUUGGCGGGGUAAAGGCCCACCAAGGCGACGAUCCGUAGCUGGUCUGAGAGGAUGAUCAGCCACACCGGAACUGAGACACGGUCCAGACUCCUACGGGAGGCAGCAGUGGGGAAUAUUGGACAAUGGGCGCAAGCCUGAUCCAGCCAUACCGCGUGGGUGAAGAAGGCCUUCGGGUUGUAAAGCCCUUUUGUUGGGAAAGAAAAGCAGCAGGUUAAUACCCCGCUGUUCUGGCGGUACCCAAAGAAUAAGCACCGGCUAACUUCGUG
rnacentral:rRNA from 1 species